GUUCUUGCUUUGAGAGUACAUACACUAACAUCGAAAUGAUACAGAGAAUAUUAGCAUGCCCCCCAUACAAAGAUAACAUGAAAAUUCAUCAAGCAUUCCACAUUUUU
rnacentral:snRNA from 1 species